CCCUACGGGAGGCAGCAGUGGGGAAUAUUGGGCAAUGGGCGCAAGCCUGACCCAGCAACGCCGCGUGAAGGAAGAAGGCUUUCGGGUUGUAAACUUCUUUUCUCAGGGACGAAGCAAGUGACGGUACCUGAGGAAUAAGCCACGGCUAACUACGUGCCAGCAGCCGCGGUAAUACGUAGGUGGCAAGCGUUGUCCGGAUUUACUGGGUGUAAAGGGCGUGCAGCCGGGCUGACAAGUCAGAUGUGAAAUCCCGCGGCUCAACCGCGGAACUGCAUUUGAAACUGUCAUUCUUGAGUACCGGAGAG
rnacentral:rRNA from 1 species